rnacentral:rRNA from 1 species
AACGAACGCUGGCGGCAGGCCUAACACAUGCAAGUCGAGCGAAGUCUUCGGACUUAGCGGCGGACGGGUGAGUAACGCGUGGGAACGUGCCCUUUGGUUCGGAAUAGCCCCGGGAAACUGGGAGUAAUACCGGAUGAGCUCUACGGAGGAAAGAUUUAUCGCCAAAGGAUCGGCCCGCGUUGGAUUAGGUAGUUGGUGGGGUAAUGGCCUACCAAGCCGACGAUCCAUAGCUGGUUGAGAGGAUGAUCAGCCACACUGGGACUGAGACACGGCCCAGACUCCUACGGGAGGCAGCAGUGGGGAAUCUUAGACAAUGGGGGAAACCCUGAUCUAGCCAUGCCGCGUGAUCGAUGAAGGCCUUAGGGUUGUAAAGAUCUUUCAGUGGGGAAGAUAAUGACUGUACCCACAGAAGAAGCCCCGGCUAACUCCGUGCCAGCAGCCGCCGUAAUAC